rnacentral:rRNA from 1 species
UUUAAAUGAGGACUUGUAUCAACGGCAUCACGAGGAUCUCACUGUCUCCCCUCUCUAAUCAGUGAAACUGAUCUCUCCGUGAAGAAGCGGAGAUUUCGUUAUAAGACGAGAAGACCCCAUGGAGCUUUAAACCCAAUGACACCCCCUUUUGACAUAUCCUUACAAUCUACUGGGAACUGAUCACUUGGUUUUAGGUUGGGGUGACCGCGGAGUAUAAAAUAACCUCCAUGAAGGACGGAGAAACUUCCUUAUCCAAGAGCUACACCUCUAAGAAUUACAACACUAAUUUAUAAUGAUCCGACAUUCGAUCAACGGACCAAGUUACCCUGGG